rnacentral:rRNA from 1 species
UACGGGGGGGGCAAGCGUUGUUCGGAAUUACUGGGCGUAAAGGGCUCGUAGGCGGCCAACUAAGUCGGCCGUGAAAUCCCCAGGCUCAACCUGGGAACUGCGUCUGAUACUGGAUGGCUUGAAUCCGGGAGAGGGAUGCAGAAUUCCAGGUGUAGCGGUGAAAUGCGUAGAUAUCUGGAGGAAUACCGGUGGCGAAGGCGGCAUCCUGGACCGGCAUUGACGCUGAGGAGCGAAAGCCAGGGGAGCAAACGGG